rnacentral:lncRNA from 1 species
GGCUCGGCCACGUGUCUCGCGCGGAUCGCGCGGCCGACCGUUGGCUCACCGGACAGUCCGGUGCACACCGGACAGUCCGGUGCACACCGGACAGUCCGGUGAAUUAUAGCCGUAUGCCGUUAAUCACUUCCCGAGAGCAGCAAGUUCGCCUGAGCCAGCCUGGCGCACCGGACACUGUCCGGUGCACCACCGGACAGUCCGGUGCACCCAGACAGAGCUGACUAUGGCUGAACAAAGCCAUCUUUAAUUUCAACUUGAUUUUUCCUGUUUCCAGCACUUAGACACAAUACAUUAGUCUCUAAAACAAUGUACUAAGUCUGAGAAACAUACCUUUAUACUUGAUUUGUACUUUGUCCACCAUUUAACACUUAGGCACUUGUGUUGGACACUAAAUCACCAAAAUACUUAGAAAUGGCCCAAGGGCACAUUUCCCUUUCAAUCUCCCCCUUUUUGGUGAUUUAUGCCAACACAACAUAAGGCAAGUAGAUUAAGUGCAAAAUCACUUCAAAUAAGAACUCAAAAUUGUUUUGAUUCAAAUUUGACAUAUAUGAAUCAUUCUUUGCCACCACUUGGUUUGUUUUUGCAAAUCACACUCAAUUUCCUAUUUCUAAGUCAAACACACUUAUUGAAACAUAAAGAGAUAUAUUUCAAGAGAAAUUGAUCAAAGAUUCAAAAACUCCCCCUUUUUCCCAUAAUUAAGCCUUCUCCCCAUAAGAGACCAACUUUUGACAAUAAGAGACAAAUAGAAGUAUUUUGACAAACAAAAACUCUAACUCUACUAUUUUCAAAAUUCACAAGUGGUAGCUGAUCCAUUUCUUGCUUUGGCCUUGUUUUCUCCCCCUUUGGCAUCAAGCACCAAAACAGGAUCAAUUUUGGCCCUUUAACCCCAUUGCCUCACCAAAAUCUUCAACUAAGAGUAAAAAGGCAAUAAGAGCAUAGAGAUGAACUUGGAAUAAGUUACUCUUUCAUCGGAGUGCAGUGGAAGUCUUGCAUGGUCCAAGUCCACCUUUUCCCUUUCAAUUCACCUUUGAGACUAAAUCAAGCAAACUCAAGCACAUGGUUAGUCCCAAAGGGUCAAGUUGUAACACAUCUCCCCCUAAAUAUGUGCAUCACUUGCAAAUGGACUUGUAAGGUCCGGGGAGUGCUUGUAUAAUUUGAGCACCAUAAAUAAACAACAAAAUGCUUAAGGAACAUGAUCAAGGCAUAAAACACAUGUAUGCUAUAAAUCAAUCCAAGUUUCGCGAAUCUAAGACAUUUAGCUCACUACGCAACUUGCAAAAGGUCUUCUCAUCUAGAGGCUUGGUAAAGAUAUCGGCUAGCUGGUUCUCGGUGCUAACAUGAAACACUUCGAUAUCCCCCUUUUACUGGUGGUCUCUCAAAAAGUGAUGCCAGAUGUCUAUGUGCUUUGUGCGGCUGUGUUCAACAGGAUUAUCCACCAUGCGGAUAGCACUCUCAUUAUCACAUAGGAGUGGGACUUUGCUCAAAUUGUAGCCAAAGUCCCUGAGGGUUUGCCUCAUCCAAAGUAGUUGCGCGCAACACUGUCCUGCGGCAACGUACUCAGCCUCAGCGGUGGAUAGGGCAACGGAAGUUUGUUUCUUAGAACUCCAUGAUACCAGGGACCUUCCUAAGAAUUAGCAUGUCCCCGAUGUACUCUUCCUAUUGACCUUACAUCCAGCAUAGUCGGAGUCUGAAUAUCCAAUCAAGUCAAAGGUAGACCCCUUUGGAUACCAGAUCCCGAAGCAAGGCGUAGCGACUAAAUAUCUAAGAAUUCGCUUCACAGCCACUAAGUGACACUCCUUUGGAUCGGAUUGAAAUCUAGCACACAUGCAUACACUAAGCAUAAUAUCCGGUCUACUAGCACAUAAAUAAAGUAAAGACCCUAUCAUAGACCGGUAUGCCUUUUGAUCAACGGACUUACCUCCUUUGUUGAGGUCGGUGUGUCCGUCAAUUCCCAUUGGAGUCUUUGUGGGCUUGGCGUCCUUCAUCCCAAACCGCUUGAUCAAGUCUUGUGUGUACUUCGUUUGGGAGAUGAAGAUCCCAUCCUUGAGUUGCCUCACUUGGAACCCAAGGAAAUAGCUUAACUCGUCCAUCAUUGACAUCUCAAACUUUUGAGUCAUUACCCUGCUAAACUCUUCACAAGACUUUUGGUUAGUAGAACCAAAUAUUAUAUCAUCGACAUAUAUUUGGCACACAAAGAGAUCACCAUCACAUGUCUUAGUGAAAAGAGUUGGAUCGGCUUUCCCAACCUUGAAAGCAUACCAUGCUCUUGGGGCUUGCUUAAGUCCAUAGAGCGCCUUAGAGAGCUUACACACGUGGUCGGGGUACCAUUCAUCCUCGAAGCCAGGGGUUGCUCCACGUACACCUCCUCCUUGAUUGGCCCGUUGAGGAAAGCGCUCUUCACAUCCAUUUGGAACAACCUGAAAGAAUGGUGAGCGGCAUAUGCUAGCAAAAUACGAAUGGACUCUAGCCUAGCCACAGGAGCAAAAGUCUCCUCAAAGUCCAAACCUGCGACUUGGGCAUAACCUUUUGCCACAAGUCGUGCCUUGUUCCUUGUCACCACCCCGUGCUCGUCUUGUUUGUUGCGGAACACCCACUUUGUGCCCACAACAUUUUGCUUGGGACGAGGCACCAGUGUCCAAACUUCAUUUCUUUUGAAGUUGUUGAGCUCCUCCUGCAUGGCCAACACCCAGUGCGGAUCUAGCAAGGCCUCCUCUACCCUAAAAGGCUCAAUAGAAGAGACAAAUGAGUAAUGCUCACAAAAAUUAACUAAUCGAGACCGAGUAGUUACUCCCUUGCUAAUGUCACCCAAAAUCUGGUCAACGGGAUGAUCCCUUUGAAUCAUCGUUCGAACUUGAGUUGGAGGCGCCGGUUGUGCUUCUUCCUCUAUCAAAUGAACAUCUUGUGCUCCCCCUUGAUCAUGCGCCUCCUCUUGAUGAACCUGUUCAUCAUCUUGAGUUGGGGGAUGCACCAUUGUUGAGGAAGAAGGUUGAUCUUGCUCCUUUUGUUCCUGUGGCCGCACAUCUCCAAUCGCCAUGGUGCGCAUUGCGGCCGUUGGAACGUCUUCUUCAUCUACAUCAUCAAGAUCAACAACUUGCUCUCUUGGAGAGCCAUUAGUCUCAUCAAAUACAACGUCGCUAGAGACUUCAACCAAACCCGAUGAUUUGUUGAAGACCCUAUACGCCUUUGUAUUUGAGUCAUAACCUAACAAAAACCCUUCUACAGCUUUGGGAGCAAACUUAGAAUUCCUACCUUUCUUCACUAGAAUGUAACAUUCGCUCCCAAAUACACGAAAGUAAGACACAUUGGGUUUGUUACCGGUUAGAAGCUCAUAUGAAGUCUUCUUGAGGAGGCGAUGAAGAUAGACCCGGUUUAUGGCGUGACAAGCCGUGUUCACGGCUUCCGACCAAAAGCGCUCGGGGGUCUUGAACUCUCCAAGCAUCGUCCUCGCCAUGUCUAUGAGCGUCCUGUUCUUCCUCUCUACCACACCAUUUUGUUGUGGUGUGUAGGGAGCGGAGAACUCAUGCUUGAUCCCUUCCUCCUCAAGAUACUCCUCCACUUGAAGGUUCUUGAACUCGGACCCAUUGUCGCUCCUUAUCUUUUUCACCUUGAGGUCAAACUCGUUUUGAGCUCUCCUUAGGAAGCGCUUGAGGGUCCCUUGGGUUUCAGAUUUAUCCUGCAAAAAGAAUACCCAAGUGAAGCAGGAAAAAUCAUCAACUAUAACAAGACCAUACUUACUUCCUAUUAUGCUCAGAUAGGCGACGGGUCCGAAGAGGUCCAUAUGGAGUAACUCCAGGGGUCUUGAUGUUGUCAUCACAUUUUUGGCAUGAUGAGAGCUUCCCACCUGUUUCCCUGCUUGACAAGCUGCACAAGGUCUAUCCUUUUCGAAAGUUACAUUAGUUAGACCUAUAACGUGUUCUCCCUUUAGAAGCUUGUGAAGGUUCUUCAUCCCCACAUGUGCUAAGCGGCGAUGCCACAGCCAGCCCAUGCUAGUCUUAGCAAUUAAGCAUGCAUCUAGACCGGCCUCUUCUUUUGCAAAAUCAACUAAAUAGAGUUUGUCGUCUAAUACACCCUUAAAAGCUAAUGAACCAUCACUUCUUCUAAAGACAGACACAUCUACAUUUGUGAAUAGACAAUUAUAUCCCAUAUUACAAAGUUGACUCACAGACAACAAGUUAUAUCCGAGCGACUCAACUAAGAACACAUUAGAAAUAGAGUGCUCGGAUGAAAUAGCAAUUUUUCCUAACCCUUUCACCUUGCCUUGGUUCCCAUCACCGAAUAUGAUUGAAUCUUGGGGAUCCUUGUUCUUGACGUAGGAAGAGAACAUCCUCUUCUCCCCCGUCAUGUGGUUUGUGCAUCCGCUGUCGAUAAUCCAGCUUGAGCCCCCGGAUGCGUAAACCUGCAAGACAAUUUAGGCUUGGGUCUUAGGUACCCAACUCUUGUUGGGUCCUACAAGGUUAGUACAAAUAGCCUUAGGGACCCAAAUGCAAGUUUUAUCUCCCUUGCAUUUUGCCCCUAAUUUUCUAGCAACCACCUUCUUGUCCUUUCUACAAAUAACAAAGGAAGCAUUUAAAGCAUGAUAAAUUGUAGAAGGUUCACUAUUUGUUUUCCUAGGCAUAUGAACAACAUUUCUUCUAGGCAUGUGAUUAAUAGUAUUUCUCCUUGCUAAAUUUCUAUCAUGCAUAAUAGAAGAACUAGAAGCAACCAUAGCAUGAGGAAUCAAAAGCAUCAUAACUUCUAUAAGCAUUUCUAGAAUGUCUCCUAUCAUGAUACAUGAAAGCAUGGUUCUUUUGAGAACUAUUAGCCAUAGGGGCCUUCCCUUUCUCCUUGGUGGAGAUGGAAGCCUUAUGGCUUGUUAAGUUCUUGACUUCCUUCUUGAAGCCAAGACCAUCCUUAAUUGAGGGAUGUCUACCAAUCGUGUAGGCAUCUCUUGCAAAUUUUAGCUUGUCAAAUUCACUCUUGCUAGUCUUAAGUUGGGCAUUAAGACUAGCCACUUCUUCAUUUAAUUUAGAAAUGUAAGCUAGGUGUUCACUACACGCAUCAUUAAAAUCUUUGCACCUAUUGCAAAUCAUAACAUGUUCUACACAAGAGUUAGAUUUAUUCGCUACUACUAGUUUAGCAUUUAAAUCAUCAUUAACACCUUUUAAAGUAGAAAUGGUUUCAUGACAAGUAGAUAGUUCACAAGAAAGCAUUUCAUUCCUUUUAACUUCUAGAGCAAGAGAAUUUUGUGCACUAACAAAUUUAUCAUGCUCUUCAUACAAAAGAUCCUCUUGCUUUUCUAAUAACCUAUUCUUAUCAUUCAAGGCAUCAAUUAAUUCAUUAAUUUUAUCAACCUUGGUUCUAUCUAGGCCUUUGAAUAAACAUGAAUAAUCUAUUUCAUCAUCAUCACUAGACUCAUCCUCACUUGAAGAAGCAUAAGUACUAGUAUUACGAGUGCUUACCUUCUUUUCCCUUGCCAUGAGGCAAGUGUGAUGCUCGUUGGGGAAGAGGGAUGACUUGUUGAAGGCGGUGGCAGCGAGUCCUUCGUUGUCGGAGUCGGACGAGGAGCAAUCUGAAUCCCACUCCUUUCCAAGAUGUGCCUCGCCCUUCGCCUUCUUGUAGUUCUUCUUCUUUUCCCACUUUCCACCCUUCUUUUCCUGGUCACUAUCAUUAUCAGGACAAUUAGCGAUAAAAUGACCAAUCUUACCGCAUUUGAAGCAGGAGCGCUUCCCCUUUGUCUUGUUCUUGUUGGGGUGCUCCUUGCGACCCUUUAGCGCCGUCUUGAACCGCUUGAUGAUGAGGGCCAUCUCUUCAUCAUUAAGCCCGACCGUCUCAACUUGCGCCACCUUGCUAGGUAGCGCCUCCUUGCUCCUUGUUGCCUUGAGAGCAAUAGUUUGAGAUUCUUGGAUUGGGCCAUUUAAUGCAUCAUCCACGUAUCUUGCCUCCUUGAUCAUCAUCCGCCCGCUUACAAAUUUCCCAAGAAUUUCUUCGGGCGACAUCUUGGUGUACCUAGGAUUUUCACGAAUAUUGUUUACCAGAUGUGGAUCAAGUAUAGUAAAGGACCUUAGCAUUAGGCGGACGACGUCGUGGUCCGUCCAUCGCGUGCUUUCCAUAGCUCCUUAUUUUGUUGACAAGAGUCUUGAGCCUGUUGUACGUCUGGGUUGGCUCCUCCCCUCUUAUCAUCACGAAUCUCCCGAGUUCGCCUUCCACCAGCUCCAUCUUGGUGAGCAUGGUGACGUCGUUCCCCUCAUGUGAGAUCUUGAGGGUGUCCCAGAUCUGCUUGGCAUUGUCCAAGCCGCUCACCUUAUGGUACUCGUCCCUGCACAAUGAGGCUAACAACACAGUAGUAGCUUGUGCAUUUUUAUGAAUCUAUUCAUUGAUAAAUAAAGGACUAUCCGAGCUAUCAAAUUUCAUUCCACUCUCCACUAUCUCCCAUAUACUAGGAUGGAGAGAGAACAAGUGACUACACAUUUUGUGACUCCAAAAUCCGUAGUCUUCUCCAUCAAAAUGAGGAGGUUUGCCAAGAGGAAUGGAAAGCAAAUGUGCAUUUGAGCUAUGCGGAAUACGAGAAUAAUCGAAGGAGAAGUUUGAGUUAACCGUCUUCUUUUUCUCGUAGUCGUUGUCGUCGUCCUUUUGGGAAGAAGAUGACUCGUCGCUGUCGUCGUAGUAGACGAUCUCCUUGAUGCGCCUCGUCUUCUUCUUCUUUCCAUCUUUUCGUUUGUGGCCUGAGCCCGAGUCGGUAGGCUUGUCAUCUUUCGGCUCGUUGACGAAGGACUCCUUCUCCUUAUCAUUGAUCACAAUCCCCUUGCCCUUAGGAUCCAUCUCUUCGGGCGAUUAGUCCCUUUCUUGAAGAGAACGACUCUAAUACCAAUUGAGAGCACCUAGAGGGGGGUGAAUAGGUGAUCCUGUAAAAACUUGAAACUUAAUCCACAAAACUUGAUUAGGAGUUAGCACAAUUAAGCCAAGUGGCUAGAGAGAAGAGCUUGCACAACACGACAACCACAAAGAGAUCAACACAGAGAUGGCACGGUGGUUUAUCCCGUGGUUCGGCCAAGUCCAACACUUGCCUACUCCACGUUGUGGCGUCCCAAUGGACGAGGGUUGCAAUCAACCCAUUUCAAGCGAUCCAAAGACCCACUUGAAUACCACGGUGUUUUGCUUUCACUUUACUAUAUCCCGCUUGCGAGGAAUCUCCACAACUUGGAGCCUCUCACCCUUACACUUUGAAGUUCACAAAGAAGUACGGAGUAAGGGAGGGAUUAACAACGCACACAAGACACGAAAUCAGAGUACCAACACGCACACAAGUCGCAACAAGAGCUCACAACACAACUCAGCGAGUUCACAACUCAAAUGGAGCUCUAAUUGCUAUCGCAAAGAAUCAAAUGCGCGGAAUCGAAGUCUUGCUGCUUAGGAAUGCUUAGAGAAUGCUUGAUGUGCUCCUCCAUGCGCAUAGGGGUCCCUUUUAUAGCCCCAAGGCAGCUAGGAGCCGUUGAGAGCAUUCCAGGAAGGCAAUUCUUACUUUCUGUCGCUUGGCGCACCGGACAGUCUAGUGCACCACCGGACACUGUCCGGUGCGGAUCUCCUUCCUUAUUUGGCGAAGCCGACCGUUGGCGCUUUGGAGCCGUUGGCGCACCGGACACUGUCUGGUGCACACCGGACAGUCCGGUGCCCCCUUCCGACCGUUGGCUCGGCCAUGUGUCUCGCGCGGAUCGCGCGGCCGACCGUUGGCCCGGCCGAACGUUGGCUCACCAGACAGUCCGGUGCACACUGGACAGUCCGGUGAAUUAUAGCCGUACGCCGUUAAUCACUUCCCGAGAGCAGCAAGUUCGCCUGAGCCAGCCUGGCGCACCGGACACUGUCCGGUGCACCACCGGACAGUCCGGUGCACCGAGACAGAGCUGACUAUGGCUGAACAAAGCCAUCUUUAAUUUCAACUUGAUUUUUCCUGUUUCCAGCACUUAGACACAAUACAUUAGUCUCUAAAACAAUGUACUAAGUCUGAGAAACAUACCUUUAUACUUGAUUUGUACUUUGUCCACCAUUUAACACUUAGGCACUUGUGUUGGACACUAAAUC